AAAUAAAAUCAGUCAAAAUAUCCCGUUUUGAUGUGAAAGGAAAUUUGGUUUUGAAGUUGAAAUUGGGACUCUGUCUCUUUAACAAAUUCCUGCUAUUUCUCAGACCUGCUAGUUCUCCUCUACUUACCUUUUAACAGCGUUUUUAUGAGUGUUGCACUGAGAAGUAGCUUGUAUGAUGAGCUCAGCAGAUGCACAGUUUCACUAGGUGUCUGCUAAUUGCUGCUGACUAGUCUGAAGGAGCUGAGGGAGAAGUCUCAGUGGAGCACUGAUCUGUGAGGCAGAAGCCUGGACACUGCAGCUCUGAGGAGAAGCUGCGCCUCAAAGGCGGCGCUAGGUCCGCCUGGGUGUUUUUAACAGCUGAACGGUUGCUAUGGGAGAUUAAAGGAUUUCUCAACCAUGCAUAAAAAAGUCAAAGCAGCACUUCAUGUAUGUUUUUGAUGACAGAAUAAGAUCAUAGUAUGACGUAAAGCUCAAAAUAGUCGAUUUAACAUAAUACUGCCCCUUUAAAAAUGUGCUGCUGGAAAUAU